rnacentral:rRNA from 1 species
UACAGAGGGUGCAAACGUUGUUCGGAUUUACUGGGCGUAAAGCGCGUGUAGGCGGCCGGCCAAGUCGGAUGUGAAAGCCCGGGGCUCAACCUCGGAAGUGCAUUCGAUACUGGUCGGCUGGAGUCUCGGAGAGGCGGGUGGAACUCUCGGUGUAGAGGUGAAAUUCGUAGAUAUCGAGAAGAACACCGGUGGCGAAGGCGGCCCGCUGGACGAAGACUGACGCUGAGACGCGAAAGCGUGGGGAGCAAACAGG